ACUUUCAGAUUUUGGGUUUAAGGGUCCGUAGGCGGACUGAUAAGUCAGUGGUGAAAUCCGACAGCUUAACUGUCGAACUGCCAUUGAUACUGUUAGUCUUGAGUAAGGUUGAAGUGGCUGGAAUAAGUAGUGUAGCGGUGAAAUGCAUAGAUAUUACUUAGAACACCAAUUGCGAAGGCAGGUCACUAAGUCUUAACUGACGCUGAUGGACGAAAGCGUGGGGAGCGAACAGGAUUAGAUACCCUGGUAGUCCACGCCGUAAACGAUGAUUACUCGUUUUUGGGUUUUAUGAUUCAGAGACUAAGCGAAAGUGAUAAGUAAUCCACCUGGGGAGUACGUUCGCAAGAAUGAAACUCAAAGGAAAUUUGACGGGGG
rnacentral:rRNA from 1 species